GCCGGUGUGGUGAAAUUGGUAUACACGACGGAUUCAAAAUCCGUUGACGAAAGUCGUGUCGGUUCAAGUCCGACCACCGGUACCA
rnacentral:tRNA from 1 species